rnacentral:rRNA from 1 species
UACGGGGGGGAGCAAGCGUUGUUCGGAUUUACUGGGCGUAAAGGGCGCGUAGGCGGUUUACCAAGUCAGGCGUGAAAGGCCUGGGCUCAACCCGGGAACUGCGCUUGAUACUGGUGGACUUGAGUCCGGGAGAGGAUGGCGGAAUUCCCAGUGUAGAGGUGAAAUUCGUAGAUAUUGGGAAGAACACCGGUGGCGAAGGCGGCCACCUGGACCGGAACUGACGCUGAGGUGCGAAAGCGUGGGGAGCAAACAGG